CCCGGGCCAGGCUCCGGCUCCCUGCGCUCCCCCCGGCGGGGCGGGGCGAGGGCGGGGUUUCCUGGCACUUAAUGAGCGCCGCGAACGCAGCGAUCCCGGGCUCGGAGGCCGGAAACGCCGCGGCAGAGCUGCACAGCAGCGCGGGACGCUACCCUUCCUCGCGGUCCGCCGACGGCGCACAGCCAGCGCAGACGUGGUCGAGUGAGGCCACGGAUACCCGCGCUGGAUCGUGGAGGAGCGGGAGGACGGGACCAACGUGAACAAAUGGCACUGGACAGAGCGGGAUGCCACCAGCCGGUCCAGGGGGAAGCUCUGUGACCUCCUGGUGGGCAUCAUCAUGGAGAAUGAGGUUGCAGCAGUGAGAUCUGUGAGCUGAAGCAAGUCGAAGGUGAGGCUUCUUGAAGCAGCCGCAAAGGAAAGCUGAUUUUCUUCUAUGAGUGGAACAUCAGGCUGAGCUGGAAAGACAGAGAUCACAAGUAGGCAGAGAGA